rnacentral:RNase_P_RNA from 1 species
UGAGUUCGCUGAGCGAUCGCACAGGCGGGGGCCGAAAGGCUGCCUGUGAGGAAAGUCCGAGCUCCGCAGGGCAGGGUGCUGGGUAACACCCAGUGGAGGCGACUCCCAGGACAGUGCAACAGAAAUAAACCGCCGGGCAAAAUCCGGUAAGGGUGGAAAGGCGAGGUAAGAGCUCACCGCCUCACUGGUGACAGCGAGGGCACAUGUAAACCCCACUUGGAGCAAGACCGAACAGAAUACGAUACGGCGGCCCGUCGUGUAUUCGGGUAGGUCGCGUGAGCUUUAUGGCAACAUGAAGUCAAGAUAGAUGAUCGCUCUCGACAGAACUCGGCUUACAGGCGGACUCAACUG